AUGGAACUCAAGGAAGUUGUUGUCCGCCAAAAUUUGCCUGCCGGGGAAGAGGUGCAGGGCCUGCCUCAACGGUUUGUAUCAAGCUCGCUGCUUCAGGUGAGCAAUGCGGAUCUCGUCGUCCAAGAUGUAAUCGAACUCCCACCCAAGGUUAUCGUCGUGCUUGGGGCCGUACAUGCGGGGGGUCUUAAAGAAAAUGACGUCAUGGAAGGCGGCGACGAGAUGAAUCUGAUCCGGGUCUACCCCUCCCCUUGGCGCCCCUCCGACACGGACCUCAUCGCCGCCUUCCGCGAUGCCGAUUUCUUCAAGACCCGCCGCAUGUACGGCCCCAAGCACGACGACGACCCCGGGUGGGAGUUUGAUUACAUCUUGGACAGUGAGAUCCGGAUCACCACCGAAAGCAGCGAGCCAGAUACAACAAGCUGA
rnacentral:rRNA from 1 species